rnacentral:rRNA from 1 species
GGAAGAUUAAUCCAGGAUGGGAUCAUGAGUUCACAUGUCCGCAUGAUUAAAGGUAUUUUCCGGUAGACGAUGGGGAUGCGUUCCAUUAGAUAGUAGGCGGGGUAACGGCCCACCUAGUCAACGAUGGAUAGGGGUUCUGAGAGGAAGGUCCCCCACAUUGGAACUGAGACACGGUCCAAACUCCUACGGGAGGCAGCAGUGAGGAAUAUUGGUCAAUGGGCGAUGGCCUGAACCAGCCAAGUAGCGUGAAGGAUGACUGCCCUAUGGGUUGUAAACUUCUUUUAUAAAGGAAUAAAGUCGGGUAUGCAUACCCGUUUGCAUGUACUUUAUGAAUGAGGAUCGGCUAACUCCGUGCCAGCAGCCGCGGUAAUACGGAGGAUCCGAGCGUUAUCCGGAUUUAUUGGGUUUAAAGGGAGCGUAGAUGGAUGUUUAAGUCAGUUGUGAAAGUUUGCGGCUCAACCGUAAAAUUGCAGUUGAUACUGGAUGUCUUGAGUGCAGUUGAGGCAGGCGGAAUUCGUGGUGUAGCGGUGAAAUGCUUAGAUAUCACGAAGAACUCCGAUUGCGAAGGCAGCCUGCUA